rnacentral:snoRNA from 1 species
AGGUCAUGUGUGUCAUGAACCAAGGAUUAUGAUUAAUCCAAUUCUGUGCACCUGAAGUCCAGU